GAUUUCUGGCCCUGCGUGAUUGGCCCGCUACCGUUCGGUAUGUGAGUGCCGGUUUGCGCAUGCCAUCCUUCUAGGCGACAUGUCUGCACUGAAAGGUGACGGACAUGCGUGCUUAGAUCUUUUACUUUGAAAAAAUUAGAGUGUUUAAAGCAGGCUGUUGCUAUGAAUACAUUAGCAUGGAAUAAUAAUUUAGGACUUCGGUUCUAUUUUGUUGGUUUUGCGAACUGAAGUAAUGAUUGAUAGGGAUAGUUGGGGGUGCUAGUAUUCAGUGGCCAGAGGUGAAAUUCUCGGAUUCACUGAAGACUAACUUAUGCGAAAGCAUU
rnacentral:rRNA from 1 species